AUACGGAGGAUGCAAGCGUUAUCCGGAUUUAUUGGGUUUAAAGGGUGCGUAGGCGGUUUGCUAAGCGGGAGGUGAAAUGCCGGCGCUCAACGUCGGAAGUGCCUCCCGAACUGGUGGACUUGAAUGACUCUGCCGUGGGAGGAAUGUGUAGGGUAGCGGCGAAAUGCUUAGAGAUUACACAGAACACCGAUUGCGAAGGCAUCUCACGAAGGGUUGAUUGACGCUGAGGCACGAGAGCGUGGGGAUCAAACAGGAUUAGAUACCCUGGUAGUCCACGCAGUAAACGAUGAUGGCUAACCGCUGGGCUUAUCAGUUCAGUGGCCAAGCGAAAGCGAUAAGCCAUCCACCUGGGGAGUACGACCGCAAGGUUGAAACUCAAAUGAAUUGACGGGG
rnacentral:rRNA from 1 species